GUCCUGACUCUAAGAUGAAAGACGUCACUAAGAUGUCACUAACAGCUGAUAGGGACUGAAAGGGCACACGGAAGCCCCCAAAUUUAGUAUAAAUGAUGAAGAAAAUGAACAGACACCCAGCCAGCUGACACUGAUGCUCACCUGCCAGAGAGCCUGAUGAGGACCUGGACUGACACCUCAAUUCUCAUCAUCUGCCUGAUCCUUGGCAUUGCUCUCCAACUCUACAGCAGCCUCCUGACCCUGGUUUUGCUCCAAGGACAUUGGUGAGACUGGCCACCUUGCUGUCUGUCUCUGGAUCAACUCCACCAUUCCCUGAUGUCCAGCCAUCGACUGAAGAGAACUACCAAAUGAAGACAAUGUCUGCUCUUCAGCUAAGAGAAGUCAUAUGGCAUAGGAGGACAUCCAGGGAUAUUCCAGGACAUCUCAAAUUGUUGUAUGACCUGUGCACAGGUAAAUGCUAAGAAGAACCAACUUCCACAGGGAAACAGAAGUCAAGAUUUUAGUGUCCUUUGAGGAUGUGGCUGUGAACUUCACCAGGAGGAGUAGGCUUUGCAGAAUUCUUCCCAGAAGAAUCUCUACAGAGAUGUGAUGCAGGAAGUCCUUAGAAAGCUGGCUUCUAUAGGAGACAAAUGAGAGGAUUAGAACACAAAUCCUGGGAGAGAUCUAAGGCACAUUAUAUCUCACUCUACAAACAAAUCAUAUGAGAAUGAAGAGAGUGGAGGGAAGCUAUACAAACUUAAACUGAACAGAACAUCUUUCAUUUCUUGCACAAGUGUUCAAAGACAAGAUUUACCAUAAAUGAACCUUAUGAAUAUCUACAUGUGGAAAA